GACGAAUGCUGGCUGCGUGCUUAACACAUGCAAGUCGAACGGUGAAAGGGAGCUUGCUCCCUGGAUCAGUGGCGAACGGGUGAGUAACACGUGGGCAACCUGCCCCUCACUCUGGGAUAACUCCGGGAACCCGGGGCUAAUACCGGAUACGACCUGGUGCGACAUCGCACCGGUUGGCAAGAACUUCGGUGAGGGAGGGGCCCGCGGCCUAUCAGCUUGUUGGUGGGGUAACGGCCCACCAAGGCGACGACGGGUAGCCGGCCUGAGAGGGCGACCGGCCACACUGGGACUGAGACACGGCCCAGACUCCUACGGGAGGCAGCAGUGGGGAAUAUUGCGCAAUGGGCGAAAGCCUGACGCAGCGACGCAGCGUGAGGGACGAAGGCCUUCGGGUUGUAAACCUCUUUCAGCGGGGACGAAGCGAAAGUAACGGUACCCGCAGAAGAAGCACCGGCUAACUACGUGCCAGCAGCAGCCGCAGUAA
rnacentral:rRNA from 1 species